CUCCGUCUACGAGCGGAUUGCAUCGUUCAUCGGAUCUCCUCGUCGUUUUUUCUCUCUCGUUCCAGCAAACGCGUUCAGCCGAACUAAUGACACGUGGCACGCGCCACGGAAAAUCUUCCGACCAAGAACACGUCGGAAUUUCAGUGUUUAACGACGGUUAAAGAGGGUUCCAACGGUUUUACGAGGAUCGAGAAAGCGUGUUUGGACGAUCGAACACCCGGGGUUUCUCUCGGAGAUCUUUUACGAGAUACUCUUCAUUACGGAUUUCGAGAUAAAGACGUCAAAGAAUCAAACCAUCAUCAUGAGGUGUCAACUCACAACUAUUGAUACGAAGCGUGCAUCAUGAAGAUAAGGAUAUUGUAUUAACAUUUGACUUGUAUCUUGUCGCUGGACCACUGACUAAUUGAUGUAUUCAUUAAUUCAUGAUAAUGCUACAUGAUUUGCUGUUCAUAGACGCCCUGCAAGACGCUGGACUGCAUAAUCUAUUGAAUGUAUCCAAUGUAUGGAGGUAAUGUGUAAUCAAUAGUGCAUUAUACGUAAUUACUAAUGCAACACAUCAUACGAAUGUGAAGGGAUCAACGUCAAAUACCGAUCAAUUAGGAGUGAUUAUAAUGUCAUGGAUGCGCCAAAAAUGAAUCUAAAGUGAACAAAGAUGAAUGCUAACUGAAACAACACAAGGGAUUUCUCUUGAAAUUCAAUACUGUGUUAUUUGACAGUAAAAAUGAUACGAAACAAUAAAGAAAAUACAGAGAUACAAUAGUAGUAAGAUGCAGUCUCGUUAUAUGGCCCAGAUACCAAAUUCUUUUAGAUCCUCCAAAAACGAGUCCAAAAUCAGCAAAGUGGGAUACUAAACAAACCAAAACAAGAAUAAAGUAAUUUCUUCUGAAAAAUACAUGAUGGACUCCGUCAAACGACACAUCUCGUUUUGAGCACGCAUCCACCUAACUGGAGAGGAAAAUGGUGCUCGAAGUUUCAGUGUUAUCAAACCCCGCGAAUGCCGCUCAAGUAAGAGUCCUAUCUUUCGUAACGUCAACAGCACUUUAGGGGUUAUCCACUCUUUUUUCCCUCUUACGUAAUCUACGCGUCUCUUCGUUUCUCUUUUCUUACCUGUCACCGGAAUAACCCUCUUUCCUUCCAACCCUUAACGUUCGGCUCGAGUGCUCUCCAUCCACGGGGUUAUCUUUCACUCUGCAUAAGGAUUUACACGUGUUCGACACGUUUUAGAAAUCCACCUGUACUUUUUGUUGUCAAGCUUUUUGUUAUCAAGUAUAGUACUCCAAACUUGUGUCAUGGUCGAGGUCAGACUUAAUUCACAAAGUAGAUGAGUCUCAAUAAAAUUGUAAGAGGAGUUUGUGACAAAUACAUUUAUUAUAAAUAGUACAUAAAUGAUACAUAUGUACACAUGUGACAUAUUCAAACAAUGUGUUUAUCUGAAUUACUUAUAAAAUUGCAACUGGAGUUUGUAACAAAUACAUUUAU